GAUGAACGCUAGCGGCAGGCUUAGUACAUGCAAGUCGAGGGGUAGCAAGAUUGUAGCAAUACAAUUGUUGACGACCGGCAAACGGGUGCGGAACACGUACACAACCAUCCUACAAGUGGGGAAUAGCCCAGAGAAAUUUGGAUUAAUACCCCGUAACAUAGCGAUGUGGCAUCACAUUGCUAUUAUAGCUUCGGCGCUUGUUGAUGGGUGUGCGGCUGAUUAGAUAGUUGGCGGGGUAACGGCCCACCAAGUCUACGAUCAGUAGCUGAUGUGAGAGCAUGAUCAGCCACACGGGCACUGGGACACGGGCCCGACUCCUACGGGAGGCAGCAGUAAGGAAUAUUGGACAAUGGACGCAAGUCUGAUCCAGCCAUGCCGCGUGAAGGAUUAAGGUCCUCUGGAUUGUAAACUUCUUUUAUAAGGGACGAAAAAAGGUCUUUCUAGAUCGUCUGACGGUACCUUAUGAAUAAGCACCGGCUAACUCCGUGCCAGCCGCCGCAGUAA
rnacentral:rRNA from 1 species